rnacentral:lncRNA from 1 species
CAUUUUACUAAUGAUAAAAGGUGAUUGAAGAUGUAAGAGCAUAAACCUAAAAGUACUGCUACUCACAGAAUUAAAUAAUGUCAAACAAGUUUUUUUUAGAGAUAUUUUACUAAAGUAAUUUUCACAACAUUCUAUCUUCAAAAUAACAUCCUUAAAACAAAAUAUUGAGAUGAUCAUUAAGCUUAUGGUUCCUUGAUGUUAGUGUUUCUAGUGUUAUGAAAAUAUCCUCUUAAAAAGAAAAGGUCCUUAAGAGGCUAACUAAUACAUACCUAGUUCAUAGUUAAUACAAUGAUUAUUAUUUUCGAAUGAUGUCUCAGAAAACAUUAGAGACCCAACCAUAAUUAGACAUGGCCAUCACAAACUCAACAAUGCAAUGCAAAAAUCAAACAUGGCUAUCACAAACUCAGCAAUACAAUGCAAAAUUCAGGCCUGACCAUGACAAACUAAGCAACACAACACAAAAAUCAGACAUGGCGAUCACAAGCUCGACAACAUAACUAUCAGACCCAACCGUUACAAACUCAGCAACGCAAUAAUCAGACCCGACCAUCACAAACUCACAAACUUGGUUGCCCUGAGAGAUAUCUAGAAAAUACAUACAAAAGACAAAUAGAUAAAAAUAUCUAGAAGCCCUUCUCUUUUUAGUAUGGGAAGCCCUGACUUUUCUUUCCAAUAAAUCAUUUCUCUCUAUUUAUCGAUCAUUUGAGCGGGUGAGGAGCUUCCUUCUUACAUAGGGUUUGAUGUUACUCAUAAUCUUUACCUUCUUAUAUGUUUGUUACUUGCAAUGGAUAGAGAUUUGAGGGAAGGAAACAACGGUGGCUAAGGUAUUUUUAGGCGAGAAUUUGUUUGAUUUUUGUCGAGGUGGAAAGAGAGAAUGAAAUGUUAUUGAAAAAUAAAAAUAUAAAAUGUUAAUAAAAAUUAAGUGUGACCCACUUGAAUAGAAGAAAAGAAAAAGCUAGAAAAUGGU